rnacentral:pre_miRNA from 1 species
UACAAUGUUUGAUUAUUCGUCUUAUUUAAAAUUUUUAUAUGAUUAAUAUUGUUAUUGUUGUUAGACAAUAAAACAUCAAUAAUACUUUAUGCUGACUAUUUUUAUAACUUUUUUUAAUAAUUUUUUUAAAUAAGACGGACGGUUAAACAUUGGACA